UCUGGACAGAGGCGGCAAAUCAGACAGUGGCAGGCUACAGUUAACAGCAGGAUCUGGCUUGUAUCUGAUGUCACUGAUAUAUAUGUCAAAAUAGUAUAAGGCCAAGAGGUAGUCCCUGUGGGAUCCCACUAGUAUCACUGAGCAGAACGGACGCACAAGUGAUCUGUCCUCAGUUACAAGCACCACACAGCAGACAGGCAUC